rnacentral:rRNA from 1 species
GACGAACGCUGGCGGCGCGCUUAACACAUGCAAGUCGAACGGAAAGGCCUGCUUUCCCUUGUGGAUUGCGGGUACUCGCGUGGCGAACGGGUGAGUAACACGUGAGUGAUCUGCCCCCAACUUGGGUAUAAGCCUGGGAAACUGGGUCUAAUUCCCGAUAGGACUGCAGGGUGGUGCCUGUGGUGGAAAACGAUUUUCUAGUGGUUGGGGAUGAGCUCGCGGCCUAUCAGCUUGUUGGUGGGGUAAUGGCCUACCAGGGCGGCGACGGGUAGCCGGCCGGAGGGGGUGGACGGCCACAUUGUGACUGGGAUACGGCCCAGACUCCUACGGGAGGCAGCCGUGGGGAAUAUAGCACAAUGGGCGGAAGCCUGAUGCAGCGACGCCGCGUGGGGGAUGACGGCCUUCGGGUUGUAAGCUCCUUUCGACCGCGAGGAAGCCACCUGGUUGGAAGGGUGGUGACGGUAGUGGUAUAAGGAGCACCGGCUAACUACGUG